GUAAAGGUGAGAGAAAGCCGUUAGCGGUGGGCUCGUUUCGGUGGGGGUGGAGAAGUCAGCCCUCCGGGCUGGGUCACGUCCAAGAGGAGAAGCCAGUUCCGCGCUCGGUGAGACAGCUGUAAAGCGGGGCGCGCGGGGCUGUGCCGCGGGGCUGUGGCAGACCGAGUGCCCUCACGUUGCUCCUCUCCCCUACAGAAGUCCUACGAGCACUUGGCAAAAAUCCGAGCGGCGAGGGAAGCGCCCGCAGAGUGCAGCUGCCCGCCAGGUCCUCCAGGGAAAAGAGGUAAGCGGGGCAGAAGAGGAGAGACUGGACCUCCUGUAAGUACAGUGAUACAUUGUUGGUUCUUCCAGAAUCAGGGAGAAAUCGAUGUUAGAUCCUGUUUUGUUACCACCACAAUAAACUGAUCGUGUAUCAACA
rnacentral:lncRNA from 1 species